rnacentral:rRNA from 1 species
UACGUAGGGUGCGAGCGUUAAUCGGAAUUACUGGGCGUAAAGCGUGCGCAGGCGGUGAGCUGUGUCCGAUGUGAAAGCCCCGGGCUUAACCUGGGAAUGGCAUUGGAAACUGGCUCGCUGGAGUGUGGCAGAGGGGGGUGGAAUUCCGCGUGUAGCAGUGAAAUGCGUAGAUAUCGGGAGGAACACCUGUGGCGAAAGCGGCUCACUGGACCACAACUGACGCUGAGGCGCGAAAGCUAGGGGAGCAAACAGGGA